CCUACGGGGGGCAGCAGUGGGGAAUAUUGGACAAUGGGGGCAACCCUGAUCCAGCCAUGCCGCGUGAGUGAUGAAGGCCUUAGGGUUGUAAAGCUCUUUUACCCGGGAAGAUAAUGACGGUACCGGGAGAAUAAGCCCCGGCUAACUUCGUGCCAGCAGCCGCGGUAAUACGAAGGGGGCUAGCGUUGUUCGGAAUUACUGGGCGUAAAGCGCACGUAGGCGGAUCUUUAAGUCAGAGGUGAAAUCCCGGAGCUCAACUUCGGAACUGCCUUUGAUACUGGGGAUCUCGAGUCCGGAAGAGGUAAGUGGAACUGCGAGUGUAGAGGUGAAAUUCGUAGAUAUUCGCAAGAACACCAGUGGCGAAGGCGGCUUACUGGUCCGGUACUGACGCUGAGGUGCGAAAGCGUGGGGAGCAAACAGGAUUAGAUACCCCAGUAGUC
rnacentral:rRNA from 1 species